rnacentral:rRNA from 1 species
CUUAAAUGACAAUACCACCCUCAACACAUCCAGUCUUGGCUGAUUUUGGAAGCUAAGCAGGUUGAGACCUGAUUAGUAUUUGCAUGGAAGACCACUGAGAAGUAAUAGGGAUUUCCAAGU